GACGAACGCUGGCGGCGUGCUUAACACAUGCAAGUCGAACGAAGUGGCGAACGGGUGAGUAAUACGUGAGUAACCUGCCCUCCUUUAUGGGAUAAGCCUUGGAAACGGGGUCUAAUACCGAAAAAAGGGGGAUGGGCUCGCGGCCUAUCAGCUUGUUGGUGGGGUGAUGGCCUACCAGGGCGGUGACGGGUAGCCGGCCAGGGCGGGUGACCGUGUACAUUAGGACCGGGCUACGGCCCAGACUGCUACGGGAGGGAGCAGUAGGGGAUAUUGCGCGAUGGGCGAACGCCUGAUGCGGGGACGCCUCGAGGAGGAUGAAGGCUUGCGGGUUGUAAGCCUCUUUCGCGAUCGAACCGGUAGGUGGAGAAGAAGCGCCGGCUAACUACGUGCCAGCAGCCGCGGUAAUUC
rnacentral:rRNA from 1 species